AAAUUGAAGAGUUUGAUCAUGGCUCAGAUUGAACGCUGGCGGCAGGCCUAACACAUGCAAGUCGAACGGUAACAGGAAGCAGCUUGCUGCUUCGCUGACGAGUGGCGGACGGGUGAGUAACGUCUGGGAAACUGCCUGAUGGAGGGGGAUAACUACUGGAAACGGUGGCUAAUACCGCAUAACGUCGCAAGACCAAAGAGGGGGACCUUCGGGCCUCUUGCCAUCAGAUGUGCCCAGA
rnacentral:rRNA from 1 species